GAAAUGCGAUAAGUAAUGUGAAUUGCAGAAUUCAGUGAAUCAUCGAAUCUUUGAACGCACAUUGCGCCCGCCAGUAUUCUGGCGGGCAUGCCUGUUCGAGCGUCAUUUCAACCAUCAAGCCCCCGGCUUGUGUUGGGGACCUGCGGCUGCCCGCAGGCCCUGAAAAACAGUGGCGGGCUCGCUGUCACCCCGAGCGUAGUAGCAUACAUUCUCGCUCAGGGCGUGCUGCGGGUUCCGGCCGUUAAACGACCUUCAUAACCCAAGGUUGACCUCGGAUCAGGUAGGAAGACCCGCUGAACUUAAGC
rnacentral:misc_RNA from 1 species